ensembl:lincRNA
ACAUUAUCUCAUUUCAACAGCCUGGGAAGAGCAAUGCCAUUUUCAACUCUGGGAGAAAUUUGACCAGUGACAGAGCAAAAUUUAGCCCAGACUUUUCACUUUCCUGUUUAUCUCCAAGGAUUUCCAUAUUCUACAUUUCAACGCAGGCCUUCUAAAUCAGACGAUAGUCGGGUUGUACGAGUAAUACGUCUAAAUGAGAUGCAAAAGAAUAUGUUGCAAAGAAUGUGGUAUAAGUAACAGUGUCUAACUUGGUGUAAU